GCCACCCGCUCCUCUGUAGCGUUGGCAUCCUCCCCGUCCGCACAGCCCCGCGGACUCAGAGCCGCCGAGGCUGCAGGCGCCGCCAUGCUGAAUCGCUCGCGCGGCUUUUUCCCCCUUCAGGCUCCGACCGACGAUUGGUUCCUACCGCGGGCGCGAGGCGACGCGGCGGGUCUCUUCCGGCAGGAAACGGCCAGUCACACCGCCAGGACGUGCGAGCGGCUCCAGCUGGGCUUUCUGAUUGGCCGAGACCUGCUCUCUCUGGCCGUUGAAACUUCCCUCCAGCGGGAGCGGAGCUACCGGUAGAGCCGUGAGCGGGCUGCGCUUGCCUUGUUUUAGAGUGCUGGACUGUAGUGACUGCGCGGCUGGUUAAAAUAAGAAAUAGCAUUUUAACCGUUGUUAUGAGGUGCCAGAGGCUAACAACAUCAAUCGUUCUCCGUGUAUCAUAAUGUUGUGAGAAUUUUUCUUUUCUUUGGGUUGAGGUGUAAUUCCUACCAAGGCGGUCGUGUUUGAUCUUCCUCAGACAUCCUGUAUAAUUAUUUUCCCAGCAAACACACUUUGGGAAAUGCUGCUGUAAACUACUGUUAAAGAAAAUGCUCCUACCCCCCAACUCAUGUUUAAGCUUAACUCUUUCCAGAAACUAAGUAUUUGUGAUAAAGACAGUUCUGGGAAAAGUUUAAGUAAUUAGAUAAGCCAUAGCUAGCCUAUAGAAUGCAGACAAGCAAACUGAAUAAACCAACCCAAGCCGCCUCUGCUGAUUAAAUGAAUGACAUCCUUAGUUUCUUAGUGCUGCUAUAACAGAGAUUUAUUUUCUCACGGUUUAGGAGGCUAGACGUCCAAAUUCAGGGCACCCACUCUACGGGAAAGCUUUCUCUCUCUCUCUGCUCUGGAGGAAGGUCCUUGUCUCUUUUCAGCCUCUGUUCCUCGAUUCUUUGAUGAUUUUCACAUGGUGUGCAUCUUACCUCCCGUGCAUCUUCCCCUCUGUUUGUGCUAAUCUUACUUUUCUGUGCUAAUCUGCUCUUUUUAUAUGUCAAAAGUAAUUGGCUUAAAGCAUAUGAUCUCAUUCACAUAACAAAGAAAGUUCUCUUCCCAAAAGGUACCAAAACCCAUUGCCAAUGAGUCAGUUCCGACUCAUAGCACCCCUAUAAGACAGAGUAGAACUGCACCAUAGGGAUUCCAAAGAGCGGCUGGUGGAUUCGAACAGCUGAACUUUUGGUUAGCAGCUGAGCUCUUAACUACUACACCGCCAGGGCUCUGUACUGUAUAUAAGCUGAUCAAAAUUGUAAUGUGACCAGCUCAUCUCUCUAGAGGCCUACUCCUUGCUCUUGAACAUUUUUUUUUCUGCCCAAUAAAACCUUUUAACUAUAAUUGACUUAUUGAUCAGAUUUUUCUUUUGAUACUACUAUACAAAUAUGUACAGCUACCAGCUAUUAAGUUUAUUUUAUUAUGUCUAAGUCUGACAGAAAACUCAGCAUCACUUGACACAAUUGAUCUCCUGGAUACAUUUUCUUCCUUUGACUGACAGGAUUCCAUCCUUUCCUGGUUGUUCUCACACCUUGCUAGCUAUCUCUCAGCUUUCCUUGCUGGCUAUUCCUCUUGUUGCUAAACUCUGAAUAUUGGAGUGUUCUGGACCACAGUACUCGAACCUCUUCUUUCUUUUGGAUAUAUUCAUUCCUGAGUUGAUCCCUAUGUUUAAAAUCAUUGUGGGAUUUUAUCUUAGAAAAUUCACACAGAGAUACUCAGGUUUGACAUGCUUAAGUUUAUUUAGUUUAUUGCAAGGUAGUCAUGGGAAAGCACAAAAGUUAAGACCUCACAACAUUAAUUUAGAACCAGAGAGUUAGAAUUUACAAUUAUAGUAUUAGUUAAAUGUUUAGAGUCCAAAUCUUUAGAUUUCAGGCUUUUACUUUUAAUGAUAGGUCUCAGGUGGAAGGCUUGACUAUGGCUAGAACUAAGCAAAACCCAUUGUCAUCGAGUUGAUUCCGACUCAUAGUGACCGAAGACCAGACAAGUUGUGGAAUGACAUCAAGGACAUCAUACAUGAAGAAAGCAAAAGGUCAUUGAACAGACAGGAAAGAAAGAAAAGACCAAGAUGGAUGUCAGAGGAGACUCUGAAACUUGCUCACGAAAGACGAGCAGCUAAAGCAAAAGGAAGAAAUGAUGAAGUAAAAGAGCUGAACAGAAGAUUUCAAAGGUCCGUGUAGCCAGCAGAGUCCCAGCUCCACCUCUGCCUUCUCUUAGUGAGAAUUUCUUCUGAUUUCAAGAUCUGGGUUUCCUUUAUCUGCUCUCCACAGAGCAUCAACAUGGUGCUCUAGGAAGCUGAGGAGAGGCUGCUGCCCAAGAAGCUCCUCUGAAAGCCAGUCAGGUAGAAGAGGUCAAAGAGGCACCCACUGACACCCUUUCCCAAAUUGUUAGGUUGCAGGACUAGAAGGAUCCUUUGAACACUCACUCUGCGCUGGACUUGCUGUUUUGCUUUUGGCACAUUUUGUUUCUAUCGUAGAUAACCGUGGUAUGAUGGAUCGCUUGCAUGUGGCCGUCCUAGCCAUGGUCUUGCAACUUCCAUCCAAAUGAUUGGGCGGGAUUGUGCAAUAGGGUAAUUGUGGCCCAUCAAAGGGAUUGGUCAGUUUUUGCCAUCCUUCUGGGCUUGAAAUGAGCCAUGGCAGAGGCAGGAAAAAGACCCCACCACCACCAAGGAAGAAUGGCUAGGAGCCAGCCCCUUCUUUGGACCUGGGAUCCCAGUUCUGAGAAGCUCCUGGAACCAGGAGAAAAAGAGAUGUAACACUGAAGGCAGAGACCUGGCAGCAAAGGCCCAGCAAUAGGAGAUGGCGUGGUGGGCUUCCCAGCUCAUGGAGAGAGAAAGCUGAGUGCCUUUGGGCAGAGGCCUGGGGCCAGGAAGAGGCAUGCUUGUGAGCAUGACUGGAAAGAGCCAGUCCUGUUGGAAGAACUGUAUCCUUGAGUGUUCCCGAGCCUGAAUUGUAACUGCUGCUUCCCUAAUAAACCCCAUACUCAUCAAUAUUGUCUGUGAGUUUUGUGUGGCCAUUGCAAUGAAUUAUCAAACCCAGCAGAAAAGUAGAGAGUUCUCUGGGAGGAUUGGUUGGUGUCAGAAUUGGUAAAGACAAAGAGAGAGGAGGCAUGUCUGGCCUCUGCCUCAUGGAAAUCAGCCUUGUGUUAUUGAUCUUGGUUCUCCUUUCCCAUUGUGGGUUUGGAGGAGGUCAGACAGUGCCCCCCAUGGCAUUUUUACCGUAAUUUCUCUCUCUUCUUGGGUCAUUCAUUAUGCUUUUGGCUGCAAAUAACAGAAAACUCUAUUAAAAAUAGCUUAUAUUAUAAGAAAAGUACACUAUGUCAUAUAACAGGAAGGCUGAACGUGUAUCAGUUCCAGGGCUGAUCAAUGUCACUCAACAUCAUCGUUAAGGACCCAGGGCCCUUUCAUCUCUCUAACCUGCUCGGUGCAUCCUCUUGCUCUUUUAGAAUGGCUCACUCAUGGUUUGCCUGUGGGUGGUGCGAACAGUUAACAUGCUUGGCUGCUAACCCAAAGGUUGGAGCUUCGAGUCCACCCAAAGGCACCUCAGAAGAAAGUCCUGGAGAUCUACUUCCAGAAAAUCAGCCAUUGAAAACCCUAUGGAGCACAGUUCUACCCUGACACACAUAGGGUUGCCGUGAGUAGGAGUCAACGCAACAGCAACUAAUUUCCUUCCCAGUUGCAAGAAGGUUGCUGAGGCAACAAUGGCCAGAGGGAGGAAUUCUCUCUUGCAUCCCGUAAAAGAUCAUUACAGUGCUGAACCCAGAUCUCUUUCAUCUUUUUUUUUUUUUUUUUAACCAUUUUUGUGUGUUCCCUUCCCCACUUUUCCUUCUAACAUCUAACACCCCUGGCUGUUCUUCGGAGAACUGUCUUUGGGCUACUGGAGGUAAGCAGAGAAGAAGUGCUUGGGAAUUGUCUUCCCCCUGGCCUUUGCUGACCAUGCAGGAUUAUGAAAGCACAGCACACUUGCCUGGGAAGGACAACUAA